CCUACGGGAGGCAGCAGUGGGGAAUCUUCCGCAAUGGACGAAAGUCUGACGGAGCAACGCCGCGUGAGUGAUGACGGCCUUCGGGUUGUAAAGCUCUGUUAAUCGGGACGAAAGGCCUUCUUGCGAAUAGUGAGAAGGAUUGACGGUACCGGAAUAGAAAGCCACGGCUAACUACGUGCCAGCAGCCGCGGUAAUACGUAGGUGGCAAGCGUUGUCCGGAAUUAUUGGGCGUAAAGCGCGCGCAGGCGGAUAGGUCAGUCUGUCUUAAAAGUUCGGGGCUUAACCCCGUGAUGGGAUGGAAACUGCUGAUCUAGAGUAUCGGAGAGGAAAGUGGAAUUCCUAGUGUAGCGGUGAAAUGCGUAGAUAUUAGGAAGAACACCAGUGGCGAAGGCGACUUUCUGGACGAAAACUGACGCUGAGGCGCGAAAGCCAGGGGAGCGAACGGGAUUAGAUACCCCGGUAGUCCUGGCCGUAAACGAUGGGUACUAGGUGUAGGAGGUAUCGACCCCUUCUGUGCCGGAGUUAACGCAAUAAGUACCCCGCCUGGGGAGUACGACCGCAAGGUUGAAACUCAAAGGAAUUGACGGGGGCCCGCACAAGAA
rnacentral:rRNA from 1 species